rnacentral:ncRNA from 1 species
AAAAGACUUAGUCCUAACCUUACCAUUAAUUCUUGCCAGACCUAUACAUGCAAGUAUCCGCGUACCAGUGUAAAUGCCCCCAACCCCUUACCAAGGUGAGAGGAGCCGGCAUCAGGCACACCCACCGUAGCCCAAGACGCCUUGCUUUGCCACACCCCCACGGGUACUCAGCAGUAACUAACAUUAAGCAAUAAGUGUAAACUUGACUUAGCCAUGGCAAUAUCAGGGUUGGUAAACCUUGUGCCAGCCACCGCGGUCAUACAAGGAACCCAAAUUAAUCGUUUACGGCGUAAAGAGUGGCCCAACACUAUCGUUUAACAUCUGAGGCCAAAACGUGUCCAAGCUGUCAUAAGCCCAAGACACCCCUAAGCCCCCACCCUCUACACGCCUCAAUCUCAACGAUCAACCACCCCCCACGAAAGCCAGGGGACAAACUGGGAUUAGAUACCCCACUAUGCCUGGCCGUAAAUUCAAAUGCUUUCCCUCCCCACCCAAGCAUUCGCCAGGGAACUACGAGCACAAACGCUUAAAACCCUAAGGACUUGGCGGUGUCCCAAACCCCCCUAGAGGAGCCUGUUCUAUAAUCGAUAAUCCACGCUACACCCGACCCCUCCUUGCCCCAAGCAGCCUAUAUACCGCCGUCGCCAGCCCACCUCCCCUGAGAGCCCAACAGUGGGCACAACAGCCCCACCCGCUAGAAAGACAGGUCAAGGUACAGCCCAUGGAGGGGAAAGAAAUGGGCUACAUUUUCUGACGCAGACAACCAACGAAAGAGGUCCUGAAAUAACCCUCAGAAGGCGGAUUUAGCAGUAAGACAUAGUCAUCACAAUUGUCUUAAAUUGGCCCUGGGACACGUACAUACCGCCCGUCACCCUCAUCACAAGCAUUUUUCUCCAUACCCCCCAGGACCACAAACGGCCAGAGAUGAGGCAAGUCGUAACAAGGUAAGUGUACCGGAAGGUGCACUUAGCACAG